CAGCACAGAUGGUGGCUCAUAAUGCCCUUCACUCUGAAAUCUUGGCAGCCUUGGUCCUUCACUGGCUGAUUGUCUGCCAUCCACCCUCAAAUACUGAGUGUUCUUUAGACUUACCUAUUCUGAAUAUCUCAUAU